rfam:Gossypium hirsutum cultivar TM-1 chromosome 7, whole genome shotgun sequence
UGUUAAAAAUUUCAUUUAUUUGUGAUAUUAAAAAAAAUUGACGUGAUUAACGAAAUAGUUAGUGACAUGUGAUGUGCCAUAUGCACCUCAUGUUGACGUACAUGGACUAAUUUUUAAUUGUAGGAAUGAAUGAAUUUUUUAACA